CCUACGGGAGGCAGCAGUGAGGAAUAUUGGUCAAUGGCCGGAAGGCUGAACCAGCCAAGCCGCGUGAAGGACGAAGGUGCCAAGCAUUGUAAACUUCUUUUGUCAAGGGACAAAAUCAGGCUCGAGAGCCUGACCGAGGGUACUUUAAGAAAAAGCAUCGGCUAACUCCGUGCCAGCAGCCGCGGUAAUACGGAGGAUGCGAGCGUUAUCCGGAUUUAUUGGGUUUAAAGGGUGCGUAGGCGGGCUGUUAAGUCAGCGGGAAAAGCCCGGGGCUCAACCCCGGCGAGCCGUUGAAACUGGGUGUCUUGAGAUGUCGAGAGGUAUGCGGAAUGCGCAGUGUAGCGGUGAAAUGCUUAGAUAGUGCGCAGAACUCCGAUUGCGAAGGCAGCAUACCGGCGGCGAUCUGACGCUGAGGCACGAAAGCGUGGGUAUCGAACAGGAUUAGAUACCCGGGUAGUC
rnacentral:rRNA from 1 species